rnacentral:rRNA from 1 species
AUGAGGACAAGGACGCAACCACCCAGGAGAGGAGAAGGAGCCGCAGGCGAGGCAAGCAAUGCGUCGGUGAUCCCUCCUGGAAAUUUUGAUCUAGAAAGGCAACCUCGCAUGCAACCUACUCAUUCCGAGCAACAGCCAGAUGGUACAAGGGGUCAGCGGUAUCCGAACAAAGGCGAGGUGCAAAAGGAAGCUCAAAGGAGAAGCAAGAGACAAGAACCGAGUGGAAGGGAAAACCUGAGCAGAGCACUUGUUCCUGCACCGGUGAGAAAAAGCACGAGAAGAAAGUCAAGGCCUUUGCAGUGGUGGCUUGGUGAAAGGUUUCUGUAUAACAGUAAGUAUGGCGAAUUUAUUGUUUGUUCUCUUGCAGUUUCACUUUUAUGUAGGGUGCUGAUAGAAAUUUGUGCUCUGAAAUGA